rnacentral:rRNA from 1 species
GACGAACGCUGGCGGCGUGCUUAACACAUGCAAGUCGAACGAAGUGGCGAACGGGUGAGUAACGCGUAAUCAACCUGCCCUUCAGAGGGGGAAAACAGUUGGAAACGACUGCUAAUACCGCAUACUGAAGGAGGGGAUUGCGUCUGAUUAGCUAGUUGGAGGGGUAACGGCCCACCAAGGGGAUGAUCAGUAGCCGUUCUGAGAGGAUGAACGGCAACAUUGGGAAUGAGACACGGCCGAGACUCCUACGGGAGGCAGCAGUGGGGAAUCUUCCGAAAUGGACGAAAGUCUGACGGAGCAACGCCGCGGUAAUAC